rnacentral:rRNA from 1 species
UACGUAGGCAGCAAGCGUUGUUCGGAAUUACUGGGCGUAAAGAGUGUGUAGGCGGUGCUCUAAGUCUGUUGUGAAAUCUCCCGGCUUAACCGGGAGGGUGCGGCGGAAACUGGAGUGCUUGAGGGUGGGAGAGGUAAGCGGAAUUCCUGGUGUAGCGGUGAAAUGCGUAGAUAUCAGGAGGAACACCGGUGGCGAAGGCGGGUCUCUGGGCAACAACUGACGCUGAGGAGCGAAAGCGUGGGGAGCGAACAGG